rnacentral:rRNA from 1 species
UGAGGAAUAUUGGUCAAUGGGCGAGAGCCUGAACCAGCCAAGUAGCGUGAAGGAUGACUGCCCUAUGGGUUGUAAACUUCUUUUAUAAAGGAAUAAAGUCGGGUAUGGAUACCCGUUUGCAUGUACUUUAUGAAUAAGGAUCGGCUAACUCCGUGCCAGCAGCCGCGGUAAUACGGAGGAUCCGAGCGUUAUCCGGAUUUAUUGGGUUUAAAGGGAGCGUAGAUGGAUGUUUAAGUCAGCUGUGAAAGUUUGCGGCUCAACCGUAAAAUUGCAGUUGAUACUGGAUAUCUUGAGUGCAGUUGAGGCAGGCGGAAUUCGUGGUGUAGCGGUGAAAUGCUUAGAUAUCACGAAGAACUCCGAUUGCGAAGGCAGCCUGCUAAGCUGCAACUGACAUUGAGGCUCGAAAGUGUGGGUAUCAAACAGG